GACGAACGCUGGCGGCGUGCUUAACACAUGCAAGUCGAGCGGUAAGGCCCUUUCGGGGAGUACACGAGCGGCGAACGGGUGAGUAACACGUGGGUGACCUGCCUCUAGCUCUGGGAUAAGCCUGGGAAGCUGGGUCUAAUACCGGAUAUGACCUCGCGGUGCAUGUUGCGGGGUGGAAAGACCUUGUGCGGCUAGGGAUGGGCCCGGCGGCCUAUCAGCUUGUUGGUGGGGUGAUGGCCUACCAAGGCGACGACGGGUAGCCGGCCUGAGAGGGCGACCGGCCACACUGGGACUGAGACACGGCCCAGACUCCUACGGGAGGCAGCAGUGGGGAAUCUUGCGCAAUGGGCGAAAGCCUGACGCAGCGGCG
rnacentral:rRNA from 1 species